AUUGCAACAACACAUCCGAAGAGGGCUGUCUUUACCCUUGGUCAUGCUACUACUGUCCGCCUAAUAUCACGAUGGCAUACAUAAGGGACUGAAUAUAUCCUAUUUCGACACUGCAACGAACUCGUGCGUUCAUACAGUUGGAAGCAGCGACAGUUGCAACAGCUUUCCCACAUUGGGUACCUGCGAGAUGUUCUGUUCCUUUGAGCCCAUAGAGGAAUCUGAUUACACGGAAAAUUACCACUAAAGCGAUGUCUGCGUUUAUACCACAGGGACAUUUACAGAAUAAGGCUUCGGUUAAGGGAUGGCCAUU